CAACUUUCAGCAACGGAUCUCUUGGCUCUCGCAUCGAUGAAGAACGCAGCGAAAUGCGAUAAGUAAUGUGAAUUGCAGAAUUCAGUGAAUCAUCGAAUCUUUGACGCACCUUGCGCUCCUUGGUAUUCCGAGGAGCAUGCCUGUUUGAGUGUCAUU
rnacentral:rRNA from 1 species